GAGCGAGAAGCCUUGAACCGAUCCUUCGGGUGAAGUUCUCUGGUGGAAAGCGGCGGACGACUGAGUAACGCGUAGGUAACCUGCCUUGUGCUAGGGGAUAGCCUCGGGAAACCGGGAUUAAUACCUUAUGACCAUAUGAAAUCGCAUGAUUUUAUAUGCAAAGAUUUAUCGGCAUAAGAGGGACCUGCGUCCGAUUAGCUAGUUGGUGAGGUAACGGCUCACAAAGGCAACUAUCGGUAACCGACCUAAGAGGGUAAACGGUCAGAUUGGGACUGAGACACGGCCCAGACUCCUACGGGAGGCAGCAGUGGGGAAUAUUGCGCAAUGAGCGAAAGCUUGACGCAGCAAUGCCGCGUGAAUGAUGAAGGUCCUUCGGAUUGUAAAAUUCAGUACCAUGGGAAGAAUUUUGACGGUACCAUGGGUUAAGCCCCGGCUAAUUACGUGCCAGCAGCCGCGGUAAUACGUAAGGGGCAAGCGUUAUCCGGAAUUAUUGGGCGUAAAGAGUGCGUAGGUGGUUCGUUAAGUGAAGGGUGAAAGGCAGUGGCUCAACCAUUGUAAGCCUUUCAAACUGGCGAACUUGAGUGCAGGAGGGGACAGCGGAAUUCCUAGUGUAGCGGUGAAAUGCGUAGAUAUUAGGAGGAACACCUGGGGCGAAGGCGGCUGUCUGGACUGUAACUGACACUGAGGCACGAAAGCGUGGGGAGCAAACAGGAUUAGAUACCCUGGUAGUCCACGCCGUAAACGAUGAGCACUAGAUGUUGGCGUAUGAAAACGUCGGUAUCGCAGUUAACGCAUUAAGUGCUCCGCCUGGGGAGUACGCUCGCAAGAGUAAAACUCAAAGGAAUUGACGGGGACCCGCACAAGCAGCGGAGCAUGUGGUUUAAUUCGAAGAUACGCGAAGAACCUUACCCAGACUUGACAUCCUUCUGAAAGCUUCCUUAACCGGAAGCCCCCUUCGGGCAGAAGUGACAGAUGGUGCAUGGUUGCCGUCAGCUCGUGUCGUGAGAUGUUGGGUUAAGUCCCGCAACGAGCGCAACCCUUGUCCUUAGUUGGCAUCAGUUCGGCUGGCAACUCUAAGGAGACUGCCGGGGAUACCCCGGAGGAAGGCGAGGAUGACGUCAAAUCAUCAUGCCUCUUACGUCUGGGGCUACACACGUGCUACAAUGGUCGUUACAAAGUGCCUGCGAACUCGCGAGAGUAAGCAAAUCACUAAAGACGAUCUCAGUUCGGAUUGUAGGCUGAAACUCGCCUGCAUGAAGUUGGAGUUGCUAGUAAUCCUAAAUCAGAAUGUUAGGGUGAAUGCGUUCCCGGGU
rnacentral:rRNA from 1 species